AAUGAACGCUGGCGGCGUGCCUAACACAUGCAAGUCGAGCGGAAAGACGAGGAGCUCUCUCCUCUGCCGUUGGCGACUGACGGGUGAGUAACACGUAGAUCACCUACCUCUAUGACUGGGGUGACUACGGGGAAACAGAUCCAAUACCGGAUCAUAUAUCGAACGGCUGGGAUCAAUGGAUCAUGGCGCCUUUCCUGACACUUAUAGCGGGUGCCGGGUCGGAUUAUUUAGUUGGUAAGGUAACGGCUAACCAAGGCGACGAUGCGUAGCCGACCUGAGAGGGUGAUCGGCCACACUGGAACUGAGACACGGUCCAGACUCCUACGGGAGGCAGCAGUGGGGAAUAUUGGACAAUGGGCGAAAGCCUGAUCCAGCAAUGCCGCGUGAGUGAAGAAGGUCUUCGGAUUGUAAAACCCUUUUAUUAGGGAAGAACAGAAGUAGAUGUAAACCUGGCCGUUUUGACGGUACCUAAAGAGAAAGCACCGGCUAACUUCGUG
rnacentral:rRNA from 1 species